UACAGAGGUCUCAAGCGUUGUUCGGAUUCAUUGGGCGUAAAGGGUGCGUAGGUGGCGCGGUAAGUCGGGUGUGAAAUCUCGGAGCUUAACUCCGAAAUUGCAUUCGAUACUGCCGUGCUCGAGGACUGGAGAGGAGACUGGAAUUCAUGGUGUAGCAGUGAAAUGCGUAGAGAUCAUGAGGAAGACCAGUGGCGAAGGCGGGUCUCUGGACAGUUCCUGGACACUGAGGCACGAAGGCCCAGGGGAGCAAACGGGG
rnacentral:rRNA from 1 species